rnacentral:rRNA from 1 species
AGUGAACGCUGGCGGUAGGCCUAACACAUGCAAGUCGAACGGCAGCACAGUAAGAGCUUGCUCUUACGGGUGGCGAGUGGCGGACGGGUGAGGAAUACAUCGGAAUCUACUUUUUCGUGGGGGAUAACGUAGGGAAACUUACGCUAAUACCGCAUACGACCUACGGGUGAAAGCAGGGGAUCUUCGGACCUUGCGCGAUUGAAUGAGCCGAUGUCGGAUUAGCUAGUUGGCGGGGUAAAGGCCCACCAAGGCGACGAUCCGUAGCUGGUCUGAGAGGAUGAUCAGCCACACUGGAACUGAGACACGGUCCAGACGCCUACGGGAGGCAGCAGUGGGGAAUAUUGGACAAUGGGCGCAAGCCUGAUCCAGCCAUACCGCGUGGGUGAAGAAGGCCUUCGGGUUGUAAAGCCCUUCUGUUGGGAAAGAAAAGCAGCAGGUUAAUACCCCGCUGUUCUGACGGUACCCAAAGAAUAAGCACCGGCUAACUUCGUG